AGCAGUCGCCGCGGGAAUACGAAGGGUGCAAGCGUUAAUCGGAAUUACUUGGCGUAAAGCGCGCGUAGGUGGUUUGGUAAGAUGGAUGUGAAAUCCCCGGGCUCAACCUGGGAACUGCAUCCAUAACUGCCUGACUAGAGUACGGUAGAGGGUGGUGGAAUUUCCUGUGUAGCGGUGAAAUGCGUAGAUAUAGGAAGGAACACCAGUGGCGAAGGCGACCACCUGGACUGAUACUGACACUGAGGUGCGAAAGCGUGGGGAGCAAACAGGAUUAGAUACCCCUGUAGUCCCUGUCUCUUAACA
rnacentral:rRNA from 1 species